CUGGUUUCUGUCAGAGCGGAUGGAGCGAUAAACAGGAAGUGAAUCAGUGCCCUGAGCGUCGCUUCAUUCCGUGUGUUUGAUUGUUGGGCUGCAGAUUAACCACAGCGGUGGAUCUUCCUCCUGAGUUCAUCCAUCUCUACAUCUCCAACUGCAUCUCCACCUGUGAGCAGAUCAAAGACAAGUACAUGCAGAACCGUCUGGUGCGUCUGGUGUGCGUCUUCCUCCAGUCCCUCAUCAGGAAUAAGAUCAUUAAUGUUCAGGAUCUGUUCAUCGAGGUGCAGGCCUUCUGCAUCGAGUUCAGCCGAAUCCGUGAGGCCGCCGGUCUCUUCCGCCUCCUCAAGACUCUGGAUAACGGAGAGAUGCCAGCCGAGGGCAAGACGGCCAAAUGAACUCAAGGACUAAAGCUGAGUCUCUCCUCUAUUAAAGCACAUGAGUUCAGCCUUUCAGCUCACAGACUGAACGGCGUACGAACUCCAUCUGUUUUCUCUUCCUAUCUUUACAACAUGUGCUCCACUAUCGUGACCUGUUUUGAUCCCAAACACCUGUAUUUUUUGUCCAUUAAAGUGAUGGUUGCUUACACGUUCUCAGAC